CAGUCGCCACGGUAAUACAGAGGUCUCAAGCGUUGUUCGGACUCAUUGGGCGUAAAGGGUGCGUAGGUGGCUUGGUAAGUUGAAGGUGGAAUCUCGGGGCUUAACUCCGAAACUGCCUUCAAUACUGCUGAGCUCGAGGAUUGUAGAGGAGAAUGGAAUUCACGGUGUAGCAGUGAAAUGCGUAGAUAUCGUGAGGAAGACCAGUGGCGAAGGCGAUUCUCUGGGCAAUUCCUGACACUGAGGCACGAAGGCCAGGGGAGCAAACGGGAUUAGAGACCCCAGUAGUCCCUGUCUCUUAUAC
rnacentral:rRNA from 1 species